GGGCCAGGCAACAGAAGAAUAAUGAAGCCAUUGUGGCUGUGUCCAAAUUCCUCACCCUGAAGCCCUUUCUAGAAGAAUAGUGCCCACUGUGUGGAGAUUUACUCCGCCGCAAUACUCCGAGGACCAGAGGAGGCUCGGAGCUCCUAUUUGGAGAGGAGAUGUUGAUGUUGGAUGGCCCUGUCGAGGUUGUUCGGCGGGAAGAACGAGGGAGUCACCCCUGUCAGGCAAUAUAUAGCAUACGUCUUAUGUAAGACAGAUGCAGUCUGGGGUAAAACGUGCACGACAGCCGUGCAGAGACGGACACUGCUGCUUCCUGCGCUCUCAAAUGCUUUUCAGUGACGUUCUCGGGUUCUGGAUCAGGUUCUUUUGCGUUUGGAUAUCCGGUUCCAAAUUUUCCCCGCCGUCUCCCCCCUUCGUUUCACUGUCACCUCCCAUUACGCGAGAACCGGCGAGCUCCCGUUGACUUCACCCUGAACCCAAGGAGCCGUGCGCAGUCCGCAGAGGACCGCACCGCACGUCAGCGCUGACAGCUCCAAACUGAAAUAGCUCCACUCAUUAACUCGCGGAAAAAAGUGGCAGCGCUCAAACGCUAGCCUUAUUUAUCAGCGUGCCAUGCCAUCUGCAUGCCAUAUUGUGCUCUAAGAUUUACAGCGCUGUCUCCUUGCCUCCCUUAUUUCAAUAGAUGCAGUUGGCAACUCAGCGGCGCUGAUAUCAACCCAAUUAUAAAUAUUUAUAAUCUGCACAUUUUAAAAAAAAAAUCCUGUCAAUCACAAAGACAAGGCCAGAUAAGCUCAGAGUGUAUCCGGGAUGCAAUUUGCAUGCCACAGAACUUGUGAUCCAUUUUGUUUUUUUGUACUUUGCACACAAGACGUUCUCUGUGCAGAUUAAAUAUAGAAGUUUUGUUCUCGGAGAGAGCCAAGCUUAUUUUCCUCUUCUCUGCAUGUUGAUGCUACGCUGAUGGCGAUUCAUUAUUGAGAGGGAAAACCAUCGUAACUGAGCUCCGGGUGCGUGUUUGUUGGAGUAACCGUCCUCUGAUGAAGGAAGUUGUUUUGUGUAGCGGAACGAGAGAAAGAAGUUGCGAUUGGAGUCUGAGCUGCUGGAGUGCAAAGUACCACAUCUUGAAGUACUGAGGAGAAGACGGUUAAAGUGCUGCUCUGAUGGCGUUUGGAGUCUCUGGGUGUGUUUUGCACAAAGUCAUUUGAAAGACUUCAGCUGUAACCUGUGUGUGUUCAGAGGUUAAAAUGACCUCACCUCAAAAUUACCUGAGAGUUCUGUGGCACAGAGCAGCAGCUGGGAUUGUUCAGAGAGUCAGCUACGCUGGAAACUUCAUUUCAUGCCAAAAGUGACUGUUUAAUGGAGGAGCUGAUAGGGCUCAGGGGAACUCUGUGGAGAAUCUCUAUACGGCUCAGUAUGGGGAGAAGACAGGAAACGGCCUUUCAUUACAGUAUAGAGGCUCACACAUGGGGGAGCGAUGUCAGAACGACUCUUUCCUCCAGUCUGCAGGCAUCGCACCCGUCCACUGGUCUGCUAGGCAAAUCCUCUCCCUUCAAACCACCUUGGGACCAGGAUUACUGAGAUUUUGAAAAGAUUCAUCUUGCUUUCAACCGAGUGCAAACUUCACCACCUCAGCUUUAUAAUCUCAAGAGGAACAGGUGACUUUUUAGGGAGCAGAAUCAAUUAAGCAUGGAAGGGAAAGGAUCUUUGGGAAGACUGUGGGUUUGGAGAGGCCUUGAGCCCGAGCUUUGGACACCGUGGAGGUGGGAUAUCCAGUGGAUAUGCAUAAACGGGUUGAGGAGGAUGAAAGCUGUUCAGCAGAUAAAGCCAUAGCAGCCUGUCGGAAUCCUGCCAUGCUGGCCUUGAUUUAUGACCAUCUCAGUCAGACUCCCUACCAAAUCCACCUGCUACCUUUUUUUGCUCAGUGGAGAUGCUCAUGUUUGAGCCGAUAGUACAACCAAAGUUCACAAACACACAAGGGACGUGGUCUGGUUCGUCACACUGAACCUGAGGACACAGCCGAUGCCUCUGAGUAGCACUCUGAUGUUCCCAGUUUCUCCUCUCUCGCACAACAUUAAAAAGUCUGGAUAAAAGUGACCCUAGAUGCCCAGGGAGAUUCUGCCGCCACACACACGCAGUCACAGCGGCUCUUGCCAGCGUGACUGAAGCGCCCUGCUGAGAGCUCCGAUGUCAGGGGUCAGUCUUCACCAUCAUAACCUCUACAGACGUGUCUUCCGGUCUUUCACAGCUCUGACCCCAGGGUACCGGACCCCGUGGAUGCACGUGACCUUCCCAUGAAGUACAUUUGCCACCUGAGGAGAAGUCACGUCGUGCAGCCGCCAGUUCGGUUCUUGGAAAUCACGCCUCAACAACGCACAUCAAAAUUCAAUCACACACGAGCACCAUCCAGGCACCCACCUCCACCCCCUUGUUGACUUGAUUAAGGUGAGUGGGAUCACUUUAAAACCUUCACACACACACACACUUGCACACAAACACAGGAGGGUCUCAUAAGUCUGAUUUCAAAGCUUCGUAAUUGGGAAAGGAUCUUUUAGACCUGGUGUGGAGCCCCGUUCCAUUAUUGUUUCCUGAUUUUAAUGCGCACGGGGCACGAUUACGGUAUGAGGGUCCAUUUAAAGAACAACUCGGCACUGAAGAUGAAGAAACCGCGUCAACAGCCAUGUCGUACCCUGCCAUUACCGCUUCGGUUCCCUACUCCUAUCCUGCUAUUUGUUCCCAUUAAAAAAGCCUACUAGAAGGACUGCAAUUCAUUCAGACGUAUUGUAUGUGGUAAUGUACACUAUUAAGUACCAGUAUAUUGAAACAAACCUUUGAUUAAAUGUAUUUGAAUCACAAAGAAACAGCAAGAAUCCUCCCUUGCCUUUGUUAAUGAGGGCCUCAUUGUGCUACCUGUGCUCACCGACUUUUGUGCCUGUGGUUUCAAGAGGCCUUUUUUCCGCAGUUCUACUCUAAUAUUAAAUCAAAUCAACUUGGGGAGAGAAAAAAAGGCUUUUGUUCACAUUUGAAUAAUUUGUACAUAUUGUUAGUUAUAUUGGCUGAUCUCGUAACAGUACAAGGCAGGAAAGGACGUUAUUUAUAAUUGGCAUUAAUAUUAUGGCUAUUUUUUUUUUAUUAUUUAGGUUUACUUUGGGUAUAAUUUGUUCAUUAUGCAUUUGUGUGAUUCAUUAUGCUAAUUUGUGUUCGAUGUUAUUUAAAUAGACCAACAUAAGCAAACAAAAACAAACUCGAACUCAUGAUUUUUAUUCGUGGCGCGAACUGAAAACCGAAGUAAACAGCGUCCAAAAGGGUACAAAAACAAGACUUUUAAACACUCCAGCACCUUAAAUACACAACACAAAGGCAUUGCUCAGCCAUACCGAGAAAGGCGUGCAAAUCUAUGUAAGUAUCAUACUGUUUGCAUAAUAGAUUAGAAAUUAGCAUUUUUGUUCAUUUUCCAUGUAUGCACAGUGCCCUGGAAGAAAAACGCUCCAUGCAUAUCAGAUCAGCCAGCCUUCCAUUUUGCGCAGUAUAUUAUUUGACAAUCUAAAAUGUGUAAUUUGCAUGAAAUUGCUUAAUUAAAACACAGUCACUUGGGGUAUUAAUUUCUUUGUCUGCCGACGGAGUGCGGCGCAGGCAGAUGUAAAGGGCUGUCAGAGAGGAAUGUCAGGGAGUGAGAGGGGGGACACCGUCCCAGCACGCCGUGUCUUGGCUGGGGAGGGUUACGAUGCCUGGCUGCCCGCCUGCCUGCCUAACUGCCUGCUCUGGGCACGCUUGGUAAACAGAGGCCCCUGCACUGGAAGGAUAGAAAGGGGAGGAUGGCAGGGUGAUGGAGGAGGAGGACGGCUGGCAGCGUGCCAUCGGCAUGCGAGAUCUGAAAGUUGGCGAUAUCAUGCACUCAGUAUCGAUGCACUUGCUGCUUGGGCCACAGGAAACACACUAGGCUAUAACGUGCAUCUAUGUAUCAGGAUUUUUUUCAUCCUGUUAAUGUUAUAAUAGAUGUUUAGUAUGCAAUCACAUGCAAAAUAUAGUGUUCUUGUGGCAAAUGUUUGUAAUUUGUAAAGUGUUGUAUGCCGUGUAGAGAGAGAAGGAAAUGAACUAAAAGUUAAAUUCAACCAAAUCAAUUAAGGAAGGGAUUGACUUGGUUGACUUGUUUUAUUUUUAAGCUUUGGAUUUUAAGGUGGCUUCUUUUUACUGUAUUUUAAGAAAUAAAACUGGACA